rnacentral:rRNA from 1 species
UGGGGAAUAUUGCACAAUGGGCGCAAGCCUGAUGCAGCCAUGCCGCGUGUAUGAAGAAGGCCUUCGGGUUGUAAAGUACUUUCAGCGAGGAGGAAGGCGUUGUGGUUAAUAACCGCAACGAUUGACGUUACUCGCAGAAGAAGCACCGGCUAACUCCGUGCCAGCAGCCGCGGUAAUACGGAGGGUGCAAGCGUUAAUCGGAAUUACUGGGCGGAAAGCGCACGCAGGCGGUCUGUCAAGUCGGAUGUGAAAUCCCCGGGCUCAACCUGGGAACUGCAUCCGAAACUGGCAGGCUAGAGUCUUGUAGAGGGGGGUAGAAUUCCAGGUGUAGCGGUGAAAUGCGUAGAGAUCUGGAGGAAUACCGGUGGCGAAGGCGGCCCCCUGGACAAAGACUGACGCUCAGGUGCGAAAGCGUGGGGAGCAAACA